GGAAUAUUAGUUCAGUUGGUUAGAAUGCAUGCCUGCCACGCAUGAGGUCACGAGUUCGAAUCUCGUAUAUUCCA
rnacentral:tRNA from 1 species